AAUACCAUUUCCACGGACAUAUUUAGUGUUGUUAUUAUUUUUCAGGGAGAAUUCAACUCGAGAUUUUACAACGAUAAAAUCUAAUAUUUAAUAUAGCGCGUACACUCGUAUUUACAUUGACGUGAAUACAUUAAAUUCGUACCCGAGAUCUUGUCAACGGCUUGCCUAUUAAGUAGAUAUUAUAGCAACAUCUGACCCUAUAUUUUACAAAGAUAAUCGGCUCAAAUACUGCAGCACGGAGUCCGGUGACUCUACUUAAAUUUAAAUAAAUUUCCAUACCCAAACACGAGCACUAUUUAAGUAAAGGCAUGGUUAGGUUAAUAAGGUUAAAUCAGGUUAAUUUAUAACAUUCAAGCACCGUAUUCAAUAGAUACGCGUUUAUAAUUUGACCGUUGGAAUAUUAUGUGUGAUAAUAAUAAUGGCUCGGAUUUUUCUCGUUAAAUAAA